rnacentral:rRNA from 1 species
GGGGCUAGCGUUGUUCGGAAUCACUGGGCGUAAAGGGCGCGUAGGCGGCUCUAUAAGUCGGGGGUGAAAGCCUGUGGCUCAACCACAGAAUUGCCUUCGAUACUGUAGAGCUUGAGACCGGAAGAGGUAAGUGGAACUGCGAGUGUAGAGGUGAAAUUCGUAGAUAUUCGCAAGAACACCAGUGGCGAAGGCGGCUUACUGGUCCGGUUCUGACGCUGAGGCGCGAAAGCGUGGGGAGCAAACAGG